rnacentral:lncRNA from 1 species
AUUAAAAGAGCUUCAUACUUUUUAAAAAAUAUCUGUAAUCUAUUUCAGCUGUUCCAAAACUUCUCCAUUCCUCAGGUGCACCAUGGCCGACUGACUUCCUUCUGACACGACGUCUGGACUUCAAACGAUACUCUAUCUAUAAAAUUGCCCAACCUUUACAUGCUCAGUAACAAAAGAACAGGCUCAAUUGCUAAGCAUCUGAAAUCUGAGCAGCGGAAUUUUCAAUUCAGACAUCCGCUCGGUAGCACAGCAGAACGCGAAUUGUUGGUGUUGAGGCACCUCAUAAAUAACCUGAUAUUUCAACCUGGACAGGAUUACAGGCAUUG